CCGCUUCCUGCCUCGGCAGCUUUGCCCGGACCGGGCGGCCGCCCUGGAUCGCACCCCGUUCCUUCCUUCCUUCAUUCUUUCAGGCAACUCGCAUUCCUCGAGCGCCUGCGACGUGCCCCGUACAAGGCCUCUCCGACCUUCGGAGUGUGGCCCACCGGGGUCCUCCCAGAAGCCUCUGCCCUCCUCACCCCGCCCUGGACUCUCCUCUCUGAUGUCCUGUUUCACUCAGAGGGUAGCAUUUAAUUGUUCUCUGAUUAUUUCUCCUGUUAAGGGUCAGUCGGUGGCAAGGUCAAGGGAGGGCUUUGUGACCGAAAUCAGGGGUCAGUCUGAAAGUAGGGUGAGGGAUCAGAAUGUGGCCAGAGUUGGGGUUCAGCCAAACCGUGGCAGGAUUUGGAGAUAGUGUGGGUAGGAGUUGGCAGCGCUCUGUCUAUGGCCAGGCUUUAUAGACAGGGAGGGUGUGAGGGUUAGUGUGAAUAGCAUCAGUAGCCAAGAUUAGUGAGUCAGUCUUUCGGUAGGGUCAGUGGACAAUCUGGAUCAGGGUAAUAGGUCACCCAGAGACCAGGAUUUGGGGGUUGACUUUGACAAGCCAGUUAAGGGGAGGAGGGCGCUGUAGCUUUCUGAACUCACAUUAGUGGUUCCUCUGUGGGCAGGGGGUGGGGGUGGUGGUGACCAUAGCUUCCCCCUGCAUCGUCCAGGUGGAGCUGGCCUUCCGUCUAGGACACUCAUUGUCCUCAACAACACCCUGCUUUGAUCAUGUGCCAGAUGUAGGGGAGGGGUAGGUAAGGGGGGCAAAACUCUCAUUGGAUCAGACCAUGGUCAGAAUGGCAGUAACACUGGCCAUGGCAGGGAGGCCCUAGGUGUCCCAGGAACCCCAUCUUGGAGUCACCCAUGUUUAACAGCAGGGCCCCUGGCAGGUCUUACAGUGGGACCAGAUGUAUGAAGGCAUUGACUUAAAAAAUAUGCACAACCUUAAAGCUCUUUUAAAUCUUUGUACAAACCAACGCCACAUAGAAUGGUCUUCAAACAGCCAUCACAGCCCUGCUGUGCUUUCUGUGAGUUCGGGAAUCAGACAGAUGCUGGUUGAAAAUGCGGGCUUUGUCGUCUAGCAGCUUUCCCAUCACAGGUAAGUCAUUUAUGCUCCCAGAGCCUCCGUGGUUACUGUGAUGAUUCAAGUAGAUGACAUAUGUAAAGCACCUGGCACUUGGGAGGCCCUGGGUGACCCCCCACCCCAGGGCCUGCUGGGCAUGGUUGUCAGAUUCCUCACAGAAUUCUUCCAUCAUCUCUCCUGGUGGUGGUGUGGUUGGCCCAGUCCAGUCACAGCAUCUCAGCACUGCCUGUCCAGCCUCUGUGCUCUUCAGAGCCCUUCCACACACAUGCAGGAGUAUCUGAUCAGCAGGACAGCUCGGUGCAGGGACUGAAAAACUGGGGCUGCACCCCGGGGUCCCCACUCUUAGGCUCUGCCACUUCGAACAAGCUCUUUCACCUCUCUGAGCCUCAGAGAGCCACCACAGAGCCCUGCUGAGGGUUUAGUGAGGAACUAAAGGCAAGCAUCUAGGGGCCUGCUAGCACGUGGAGGCACUCAGUAAGUCAGAGGCAGAGUUAGGAAUAGUCCUAUUUCACAGAAGAAGAAACUGAGUCCCUCAGGGGGUAAGUGAUUCAUCCAGUGUCAUGUGGAAAGAUCCCUUCACAGACCUGGGAUUAAAAACCACAUCUUCAGAGUUCCCCUUUGUGGCUCAGCAGGUUAAGAACCCAACAAUUGUCUGUGAGGAUGUGGGUUCAAUCCGGGGCCUUGCUCGGUGAGUUAAGGGUCUGGCAUUGCCACAAGCUGUGGUGUAGGUGGCAGAUGAGGCUCAGAGCUGGCAUUGCUGUGCCUGUGGUGUAUGCCAGUAGCUGCAGCUCAGAUUUGACCCCUAGCCGGGGAACUUCAAUGUGCCGCAGGUACAGCCAUUAAAACAAAACAAAACAAAAC
rnacentral:lncRNA from 1 species